AAGGAUUUAAGUUAAAAUAAACUAACAUCCUUCAAAGAUGAAAAUAGAGAAUUUUCUCUAAGCCUUA
rnacentral:tRNA from 1 species